ACGUGGGGGGACACAAGGGACAUAGAGGACACAAUGGACAUGGGAGGCAUGUGAGCAAUGUGACAGUUACAGAGCACAUGGGGGGACAUGGGAGGCCUGAGGACACCAGGAAUGGGGACACAUUGAAGCCACAGGGAUCUGGGAGGACCCAGGGACAGGUGGGUGACCCUGGGACAUGCGGGGGGACAUGGAGUGCACGUGGGACAUGAGAUGACGUAGGGAGAUAUUGGGGGGAUUCAGAGGACCUGGGGAUGCAAAGUGGACAUGAGUGGCACAGGAAGCACCCAGAGACAUGGGGACACAACAAGAAUACGUUGGCUGGGGACAUCAAGCAGGAUCUGGGAACGGGAAAAAAGUCAUAACUGGGAGCUAGGAACUGGGAUCUGAGAAGUGAGAACUGGAGCAAAGGAUUGGUUCUGGGUACUGUGGGGUGGGAACUGGAAACUGGGAGCAAGGGAUUGGGAAGAAUUGGUAACUGGGAAGUGGUAACUGGGAUCUAGGGACUUAGAAUUGGGAGCUCAGAACAGAGAACACUGAGCUGGGAAGUAGGGAAUGCAAUUACUGUGUUGAGAACUGGGAAUGUGGUGCUGGGAGUUGUGAACUGGUGGCUGGGAAAUGGGAAGUGGUGAAAGGGAACUGGGAAUAGGAAGCAGAGGGCUUUAAAAGAGGAGGUAAAAUGGUUGGGAAGUGGGAACUGUUAGAAGCAAGUGUGAUUUGGGAGCUGGAAACUGGGAGCUCUUGGAGCUGGGAACAGGGAAAUGGAAACUGAACAGGGAGCUUGGAACUGUGACCUCAGUCACAGAGCUCAGAAAUGGGAGUUGCUCGAUGGAACUGGAAACCAAAGAUGGAAUUUGGGAACUUAAAAUUGGCAACUGGGAUCUAGGAACCACAACGGUGAGGGAAGAAGAUACGGCGAUGGGAGCCCAUGGGGUUUAAUGUGCACUGAGAGGAGCUGUGGCCGCCAUGAGGCCUUCCCUCAGCCUCCUCUUCUCCGGGCCCAGCACAGCGCAGAGUCUCAGUGCUCCUCACAGCCGUGCGCUCAGUCCCUGCCCCGUCUGUAACCCUAUUUUUUGUCUGUGUUUCGGUACGUGGGUGGAUCUUCCGAACGGAGCUGGAGACAGGCACAGCGCGAGGCUCCCACCGGGCGGUAGGCCGGAGCAGGCCGCAGGCCCAGCGCCUGUCGCCAUGGCAACGCGAAGCGCGCAGGCGCAGAAUCCCAUGAGUGGGCCUCACGGCAUCAUGGGACAACAAGUCCGCAGCGCUACACCCCCUCAACCCCGCCCGCGGCAUAGGACUACAGCUCCCAUAAACCCUCACGGCGGAAGCGCACCUCUCCCCUUCCUCUACAUCUCUCCCUCCCAUUGGCUCCGCCGCGAUGCCCGGCAGCAGUACGGCAGCGUCUGAUUGGUUGGAAGGCGAGCGGGACGAGGCGGCGGCUAUGGCGGACGAGCGGGCGGUGUGAGGGCUCGGCCGCCAUUUUGUGUGUGUGGGGGCUUACGCCAGGCCUCGCUGCCCGCCGCCGCGGGGCCGGUGAGCGGCCGGGGACUUCGAGGGGACUCUGGGCCGAGCCGGGAGCACGGGGGAGCGGCUCCCUCCGGUGUUGAGUCCUGAGGAGAGCGGCGGAGGUCCGCGCGGUGCGGCCGUUCCCCUCAGGAGUGCGGGGCUGUGAGGCGGGGAGGGCCCCGGGAAGGCCGCAGCUCCGGGGGGGGGGCCGUGGCUGAGGGAAACGGGGCGGAGGGGGCCGGACCUGGGCCUCACUUGGGGGAUGAGAGGGGUAGCAGACAUUGUGGUAGGAAAGCUGUGAGCUCGGGCUGUGCUGGGGAUCAGCGGUGUCUGAGUGACCCCGGUGGGAGCAGCGUGGGGGGAAACGGCGCGUUUUUGUAGUGAAAGAGACGCUCUGGUUUAGAAACAUGGAAAAGCCACAUGGUGACACAAUGCGCCUUUAAUGCACGGCAGCUGAAAAAUGGCCCCCCGAGAACAUUACCCUCGGUAUCACUCGGGCUCACGGGACCCUGAAGUGCUGCAGGGCUCCCCACAGCCAACACGGACCCACACAUCACCCCCAGAGCCCCACACAGCAGCCCUGGGGUCCAUCAUGCACCACAGAGCCCCAGCCUGGGGCUGCAGACGUCACUCAGUGCAGUGGAAAUGAAGGCUGGGGAAAUAACAGCGCUUGGACUUGGUUCAGGUGUAAAACGGCACCAUUUGGGGUUUCUGAGUGUAGGUCCUGCUGUCAAACAUGGGACCUGCCAGUCACAAGCCGAAUUCUUUUCCAUUUAUACAACUGGAGGGUUGGUUUCGUUCUCUUUUUUAAGAAAAUGCUCUGUUGAAACAGAUUUGCCGACAAAUGUCCACGUUGCUCUAUUAGUUCCUGUGUGCUGGAGCCUUGCACUUCAUACACUGCUGCAUGGCCGGGCUGGGAGCUUUAUUUCCAUGUACCUCAGUGCUGUGUUCAGCCCUCACAGCAACGAAGACGCUGAGGCCCUGGAGCGUGUGCAGAGAAGGGCAUGGAGCUGUGAGGGCUGUGAACACAGAAGGGAGCAGCUGAGGGAGCAGGGAUGGAUCAGUGCGGAGGAGAGGAGCUCAGGGAGACCUCAUUGCUCUCUACAGCACCCUGGAAGGAGGUGGGGGGGGGGGGGGUGUCGGCCUCUGCUCCAGGUAGCAGCGAUAGGACGAGAGGGAUGGGCUUAUGUUGCACCAGGGGAGGAGCAGGUUGGAUAUUAGGAAAUAUUUCUUCGCAGAAUGGGUGGUGGGGCAGUGGCACAGCUGCCCGGGGGGUGUUUGGAACCGUGGGGAUGUGGCCCCAUAGCAGGCAGGGUGGGAUGGGGGUGGAGGUCCCCAAGGACCUUAAUGGCCUUCCAUGCCUAAAGACGGUGUGGUGCUCUGCGUGUCUUAGAGCUGAACGUGUCGUGUUGUUGAACCUGUGUGCCCUGCGCCUGUCUGGUUGUUAGAGCUGGGGGCUUUUGGUGCUUUUUUUCCAAAAGGGUGUGAAGGGGGAUGGAAAGAAGCCACAGAGGGGCAGAUCCCGAUGCCGUGGGGCAGCCGGAUGGGAACGUGGUGCGGGGUUAGCAGCGCCAGAGAGCCUGCUUUAGAAAGGAGUCCUGCUUACAUUGCAGUGUUGUUGGGAUGGCCAGAGCAGCGUGUGAGUGCUGUGUCUUAAAGGUAGCGAAUAGGCGGCACUGGAGCGAGUUGAGCCUUAGGGCUGGCGCUGUACGCAGCGAGCAGCAGCGAUGCCAAAGCCGGGCCCUUGCGAGGAGCCACGGAGCGGCCGCGAAGCCGUCCCAAAGCUGCCGGCCUGCGGGAGCCGCGCCGUGCAGUGCCGUGCCGUCCCCUCGGCGGCGCUGCGGGGGGAGCCGGGUUUCGCUUAGCGCGGCCGUUGGCUGUUGCGGUGUUGGCGUGCUGUUACAAUGGACGGCUUCCCUUUUUGCGGCAGCGUUUUCGGGGAGCCGGGCUGCCGCUGCAACGCUUCCUGCCUGGAGAGCGGCUGGAAGCAGAGCGGGGUGUCCCGGCUCCCCCUGGGGACGAGGCGCUUCAGCGGGCGCUGAAAGGCUGCACUGCCGCUAAGUGUGAGCGCAGGAGGUGGGGUCGGACCCUGCGGGGCGACGCACCGCUCCGGAACACCUGCGGUGGGGAUUAGGAGCAAUUAGUGUGUGUUAAGACUCCUUCAUUAAGCAGAAUGUGGCAUAAAGUUGGUAGAAUCAAAGCAGGGUCGCGGAGUCGAUGGUUAUGGAGGGAGCAGCGGCGCUCUGAGCAGGGGGGAGAGGUUCCUGCGUUCCUGUGUCUGUAAGAGCCAUCGUUGAAGUGUUUGCAGGUGCCGAAGGCUGCCCGUGCUGCCCGGCUCACCGGGGCUUCUGCUGCCGGAGUCGGACACGCAGCUGUCCGGGAGGAGCCGAGGCCCCGUGCAGCGCUGCGGGGCUCCAGGUGGAACAGGAGGCCUCAGCGGGCUGCUGCUUCUCUCCCUGAGCAAUGGCUCCUAACGAGUGAGAUCCCAAUUAACCCAGCCUGCUCCUAACGAGAGCCCAAUUAACCCAGCCCGCUCCAACACACGGAGCGGCGGCAGAGCCCCUGCAGCCACCCCAGCGCUGCCGCUGCCCGGCGCUGUCAUGGCAGAGGGAAGGGGAAAGGAGACUGCGAGGCUUCGGGGCAGCACCUCGGCACCCCGCUGUCCUUCCCACAGCUGGUGGCGGCGUUUGCCCCGAGCGGAUUUUUUGGCCAAGCUUCUGCUAAAACCUUCCUGGAGCCCCACGGCAGCCCCACGCCAUCUUCCCCUUCCCCGGAGCUGACGUUCGUUAUGAAAUAAACCUGCCCCCGUAGGUACCGAG